rnacentral:lncRNA from 1 species
AAAGCGCGUAAUUUGUACUAUUCAUCCAUCCACCGGCUGCCAACAAUGAGUGAGGGAAUAGUUCCGGUUGUGAAGAAAAGUCCUAUAAGUAUCUACCUUCGCCUUCCACAGCAAAGGCACACCCUCUCAGCACUUUUUCAUCUCCGAGAAUGUAUUUCCAACACACCCUCUCGAGUCACUCAGUGUUCCUUAUUCCUUGGGGUACCUCUGCAAACAACCUAUCCAAAGCAAAAGUAUUUCAUAUCAUGAAGGUUGAAAGCAAGAGUAUCUCAUAUCAUGCAUUCUCCAUGUCCUUUUCCUUGUCUUUGUUCUAACCUGCAGG